rnacentral:rRNA from 1 species
UACGUAGGGACCAAGCGUUGUUCGGAUUUACUGGGCGUAAAGGGCGCGUAGGCGGCAAUUCAAGUCAGCUGUGAAAUCUCCGGGCUUAACUCGGAACGGUCAGCUGAUACUGCUUUGCUAGAGUGCAGAAGGGGCAAUCGGAAUUCUUGGUGUAGCGGUGAAAUGCGUAGAUAUCAAGAGGAACACCUGAGGUGAAGACGGGUUGCUGGGCUGACACUGACGCUGAGGUGCGAAAGCGUGGGGAGCGAACGGG